CCUACGGGGCGCAGCAGCCGCGGUAAUACGUAGGUGGCAAGCGUUAUCCGGAUUUAUUGGGUGUAAAGGGCGUGUAGGCGGGAAUGCAAGUCAGAUGUGAAAACUAUGGGCUCAACCCAUAGCCUGCAUUUGAAACUGUAUUUCUUGAGUGCUGGAGAGGCAAUCGGAAUUCCGUGUGUAGCGGUGAAAUGCGUAGAUAUACGGAGGAACACCAGUGGCGAAGGCGGAUUGCUGGACAGUAACUGACGCUGAGGCGCGAAAGCGUGGGGAGCAAACAGGAUUAGAAACCCCGGUAGUCCAAGAUC
rnacentral:rRNA from 1 species